rnacentral:rRNA from 1 species
UACGGAGGGGGCUAGCGUUGUUCGGAAUUACUGGGCGUAAAGCGCGCGUAGGCGGACCUGCAAGUCGGGGGUGAAAGCCCGAGGCUCAACCUCGGAACUGCCUUCGAUACUGCGGGGCUCGAGUCCGGGAGAGGUGAGUGGAAUUCCUAGUGUAGAGGUGAAAUUCGUAGAUAUUAGGAAGAACACCAGUGGCGAAGGCGGCUCACUGGCCCGGUACUGACGCUGAGGCGCGAAAGCGUGGGGAGCAAACAGG